rnacentral:lncRNA from 1 species
GCCUGCGCGAACGGCUUCUGCUCGCCGUCGGCGCGGAACCUGGCCACCUUCACACCGGAAUCCGCCAGCUUCUCCGCCAGCUCCACGUAGGAGGCCUCCAUGGCCUGGCAGAAGGGGCACCACGGCGCGUACAGCACCACGAGCCACGGCUCCGCGCGGUUCUCCAGGCCCAGCAGGUUCUCGAUCCCGGUCCGGGUCAGGGACACCACGGCGGGGCUCUCGAAGAUGUCCGGGGCGCCCGCCGAGCCGUUGCCGUUGGCGGACUUGGGCGCCGCCGCCUGCCCGUCCUUUUCGAUGUUGCCCUU